rnacentral:rRNA from 1 species
GACGAACGCUGGCGGCGUGCUUAACACAUGCAAGUCGAGCGGUAAGGCCCUUCGGGGUACACGAGCGGCGAACGGGUGAGUAACACGUGGGUGACCUGCCUCUAGCUCUGGGAUAAGCCUGGGAAACUGGGUCUAAUACCGGAUAUGACUCCACGGCGCAUGUUGUGGGGUGGAAAGCCUUGUGUGGCUAGAGAUGGGCCCGCGGCCUAUCAGCUUGUUGGUGGGGUGAUGGCCUACCAAGGCGACGACGGGUAGCCGGCCUGAGAGGGCGACCGGCCACACUGGGACUGAGACACGGCCCAGACACCUACGGGUGGCAGCAGUCGAGAAUUUUUCUCAAUGGGGGAAACCCUGAAGGAGCGACGCCGCGUGGAGGAUGAAGGCUUUCGGGUUGUAAACUCCUGUCAUUUGAGAACAAGGCUCCGUAAUUUAACUGGUUCGGGGUUGAUAGUAUCAGAAGAGGAAGGGGACGGCUAACUCUGUG